GGGGCUCUGUGUCCUGCGGCACAGGGGUGUGGGUUGUGCAGCUCUGUGUCCCCGUCAGAAUCCUGACACCUCACUGCCGUGGUUCGCAUGUGUGCCCUGAGGGUCCCCCACUGGACUCUAGCUCCCUGCUACAGUGUCUGGAGAUGGGACCUUCACGAGGUGGUGAGAUCCCUCACGAAUGGAUGCAUACCAUUAUUUGGAAAGUAAGUUUGUCAUCUCAGGAGGCGUCCUGCCCGUGGCCCUCUCUUGCCCAUCUGCCUUCCACCAUGGGAUGACACAGGAAAGAGGCUCUGGCAGGACACCAGUGCUAAGACCCUGGACUUUGCCUCCAGAUCUGUGAGCCAGUAAAUUUCAGCUCUUUAUAAAUUACCCGGUCUCUAUAUUCUGUUAUAGCAGCCUAAAGCGGACCAAGGCUCAUAAAACUGGAUGUGAAGUUGUGCAUUUGUAAACAGGCCUUUGUGCCUGUGUGAAUUUUACUUUUAAGAAAAUCCCUGAGGGCUGGGGACAUAGCCCAGUUGGUAGGGUGCUUGCCCCGUAGGCACAGGCCCUGGGUUCAAUCCCCAGCACCACAGAACAAAGAAAAGAAGAAGAUCCCUGAACAGCAAAACUAACCCGGGCUCCUCAGCCCUGCACAGGUGGGUCGUGGCACCACGGGACCUGAGGCUGAGAGCCCGUGGCUGGCUCCUCCCUUGGGCUGCCUGGGCCUGACCCUACUUGCCUGUGGUCAGGACCUGGAGACAGCAGCUCCCCGGGCACAGCCACCUGGGACUUUGCUUCCCAGUGGCCGGGCAGUGGCUCUUGCCCCCAGACAGCCACAACUGCUUCCCUGGGCUCUCCUCUGCUGAUCCCGCAUCACAGGGCCAUCCUCGGUGAGCAGGAAGCUACGCCCCAGCCACGUCUCCUUGGGGACCUUCAGCCGCAGGUGAGAAGCCACUGGAUGCUCCCCUCCAUUGGGUGCCUUGGUUCUGCCCCCAAGCUGUGAAGCUCCCCUGUGAACCCGCCUCUUGUUCCCAUCUCUGUCUCCUUCACACAUUCACCACAUCGUCACUGAGGCCCUACU
rnacentral:lncRNA from 1 species